rnacentral:rRNA from 1 species
GACGUAGGGCGCGAGCGUUGUCCGGAUUUAUUGGGCGUAAAGAGCGUGUAGGCGGCCCGAUAAGUCCGCUGUGAAAGUCCAGGGCUCAACCCUGGGAUGCCGGUGGAUACUGUCGGGCUCGAGUCCGGAAGAGGAGUGUGGAAUUCCUGGUGUAGCGGUGAAAUGCGCAGAUAUCAGGAAGAACACCCGUGGCGAAGGCGGCUCUCUGGGACGGUACUGACGCUGAGACGCGAAAGCGUGGGGAGCGAACAGG